ACCCAGCUGACGAAUCCCAAAUGGGACGAAACGCGUGUCGUGGAU
rnacentral:hammerhead_ribozyme from 1 species